ensembl:snoRNA LOC120097247 small nucleolar RNA SNORA17
CCUACCUCUAGAAGUUUUCCAGGUAUGGCUACUGUGUCACAUGUGCACCAGUAGGUGACAGAGAGGAGAGAGACUAUGUCGAUGCUCAAUACUCUGUCCCGUAAACAUAUUAAUGUUUAGUAAUCUAACACU